rnacentral:rRNA from 1 species
GACGAACGCUGGCGGCGUGCUUAACACAUGCAAGUCGAACGAUGAAGCCGGAGCUUGCUCUGGUGAAUUAGUGGCGAACGGGUGAGUAACACGUGAGUAACCUGCCCUUGACUCUGGGAUAACUGCGGGAAACUGUAGCUAAUACCGGAUACGACCCUCGGAGGCAUCUCCUGGGGGUGGAAAGAAUUUCGGUCAAGGAUGGACUCGCGGCCUAUCAGCUAGUUGGUGAGGUAAAGGCUCACCAAGGCGACGACGGGUAGCCGGCCUGAGAGGGGAACCGGCCACACUGGGACUGAGACACGGCCCAGGCUCCUACGGGAGGCAGCAGUGGGGAAUAUUGCACAAUGGGCGCAAGCCUGAUGCAGCAACGCCGCGUGAGGGAUGACGGCCCUCGGGUUGUAAACCUCUUUUAGCAGGGAAGAAGCGAAAGUGACGGUACCUGCAGAAAAAGCACCGGCUAACUACGUGCCAGCAGCCGCCGUAA